rnacentral:misc_RNA from 1 species
CACUAGAGCUCCUCCUACCAAUUUUCGUCAUCCGGGAAUCUACCGCCAUAUUUCUAUUUUUGCAUCAGUGUCCGUUGUUUAUGUGACUUUAUUUGCCAACAUUUCUGCGAUGCCCGCACUUUUCUUGGUUCUUGUGUAGUGUAGACUUUUGUGGUGUGAAAGAAGAACUUGAGUGUGUAUAUUUAAGUAUACUAUUGCCAGGGUAACAGCUGCUGUCAUAGCCGACUUCCAGCCUUGUAUUUCCAGUCAUGUCAACGAAACCCAAACAAGAAGGGGAUCCUGCCAAUGAUGGUAAUACGCCUCCUCCAAUACCGAUCCUUGUGGAUGCAGGUGGUUUAGAAACGAAUGGAGAAAGCCCUGAGAUGUGGUCUAGUCAACAGCAACAACAGGAAGAUGGGGAUGAUGGGAGUAGUGGCGGUGGAGGUCGGGACUCAUCCACACCCUCUUCCAAGCCAGAAGAGGGAGAUAUAUCUGCCUCUUCAUCUGAUUCAAGCGGAGGAGAGUCCCUCAAGGGAACUGCAACACCAUCUAGCUCUUCUUCCCCCCAAAAUCUUCCUCAGUGGCAAUACUCCAGGGAUGAACUCUUGGCACUAAAGGAAGCCCCCUUGUCUGUAAAAUGGCCGUCUUGUUUGGAUCCUUCCUACAACAAAUCCCCUGGACGAUGGGACCCUGAGAGAUGGAUCAGAGCAGUGCAUGAUGAGCGGCGUCCGUCCAGCACUGCUUCCACAGGCUCUACAGUGACCAAUAAUAGACCUGAUCGUCCACCAGACCUAGAACUCAAACGUAGCCGUGACCCUCGGGAGAGAGUAAAGCAAGAAGAACAAGACGGACUGGUGUUAUCUCCCCAGCGUCGAAGUUUUAGCACGGGCUGUCAUGGCUUGCAACAGCCACCUCCUGCAAUUAAACGUCCAGACUCUCCUACGGAACGCCCUCAGAGGGAGUCCCAUCGAGAGAUCCCAGCUCGUAGGAUUGGUUCUGGUCGAAUUUCUCGUCGAGACGACCUGGAAACUCCAGUUCCUGGAGAGAGAAGGGAAAUACCGAGGCGAGAUCGGGAUGUUGAUCGCGAUAGGGAUAGAGAAAGAGAGGUUGAACCUCGGAGAGAUAGCAGAGACUGGAGAUCGAAGCCUGAUCAAUGCUUUGAAAGAGAUAAUCGAUAUGAAAAUAGACGUCGCUUCUUUGAGGAAGAAGAAACUGACAAACGCCCAGAAAGAAGAGACAGGGAUCGUCGUUAUCAGGAACGACGGCGAAUGUCUUCUCGCAAUGAUGAGGAAGAACAACCCGAGUGGUUCACAGGAGGACCCACCAGCCAAAAUGAAUUCAUUGAGCUGGUUGGCUUUGAUGACAUUCCAGAGGAAGGAAAUACAUCUACUAAACCCCUAAGUAAGAGAGAACGUCGCCGCUCGAAAAAGGACAAAGACAGUGGUGGGAGUAGAAAGGGAUCUCGUAGCAACACUCCAGUAAUUGUUGAAGACGUAGUAAACAGCAGAUCACCAAAACUCCAGCAAGAAGAACAUGAAGUGCAGAAUGUUGGUGAUAUGAACCAGCAUCAGCCACAGCCAACAGUCAUUGAGCCUGUAGAUCAAGAGCUACCAGGAUUCAAUAUUGAUGACUACCUAGGGGAUAUUAUUGGCUACCCCAGUAAGGAGAUUGGAAGUGUACCGGAGGAGGUAAUGGCAGCUAAUAAUGCAAGUAGUGGUGGUUCAUCAAGAUUAAAACAGUUUUUCUCAAAGAGAGAGAGUCCUGUUUUAGGAUCUACCUCCAAUUCUCGACGUUCCUCCAUUGACUUGCCACCUCACAUCAACAAUCUCCUAAGUGAAAUCACGGGUAGCGAACCAAACAUUGUGAUCCCUUCGCCCACGACAGUCCUCGACUCCAACCGCUUCUUCGCACCAAUUUCUCCAGCAGACAAAACGGGUGGAAACUCCAUAGUGGACCUCCUGCAGCAGGCCACUGGGGGAAUAGGUGGACCAGACCCAAUGGGACCGCCACCACCAAUAGGUCCUCCCGGUAUACCAGGAUCACAGCCUCCACCUUCUAUUAAGGAUCUCAUGAUGGAUGGAAAAGGACAAAGUUUAGAGGAGGUUGAGGCUGGGAUUCGGAGUAUGCGCCAACCAAUCCACAAUCACCAUGGUCAUAUGGUCCACAACCACCACAACAUGAACCAGAUGACCGCCUUUGAUGACUUCCUCUCACAGGUUACUUCUACUCAGGGCACCAGCAAACCAGAUCCCAAGAAUUCAGCCAAGGAAAUGUUUAUGAAGUUGUUGAACGGAGGUAUGAAGGACGGCGGUGGAGUGGUAAAACCAUUGCCGCAGCCGGUUCAACCAGCUCUACCUAACGCCCCUACAGAAAACGAUCUCAUUGCAAUGUUUAUGAAGGGUAGUGCUGGCAGUCCCGGGCAGCAGCAACAGAACCAGCCUCCACCUCACCAACAAACCCGCUCUAUGCCCCCUCCUGCUGUACCUAACCUCAAUGUGCCCCCACCAAGCAUGGUGACUCACUAUCAGCCUCCACCCAACAUGCCGCAGAUGCCAAGUCAAGGACUAUCUACUCAGGAUGUUGUUAUGAAAUUGUUCCAAGUUCAGCAGCAGCAGCAACAACAAAAGAGACAACAGCAGCUCCUACAACAGCAACAGCAGCAACAACAGCAGCUUGAUCCAAUUAAACAGCUAAUGGGAGGUCUUGGUCGCAUGAGUGUUACUCCAUCACCUCAACCCCAAGAUCAAGUUCUGCGCGAUGCUCUCAUGCGUCCUGAUGUGCAGAAUCUCUUGCAGAGAGUGGCUAGUGGGCAUGUGACUGCUAGCCAGUUAGUAAAUCAGUUGAAAAGUGGCUCAAUAACACCAUCCCAACGUGAUGCAAUUUCUACAGUCCUGAAAUUUUUUAAAGGCCAGCAUUCACAACCCCUCAUUCCUCAUCGUACCACCCUUACUCCUUCUCCAACCCCCCAGACUGUGGUGAGUGGAGGCUUGUCUCUUGGGGGCAGCAACUCCCUGUCACCCCGAGUUGCUUCUCCCAACCCUGAUUCUUCCAAUAUGCUCAAUCCUCACAUCCUGCAGCAACAGUCUCGUCUUUCCCCGCUAAUGUUUACUGGUGGGUCGUUGGGUAAUAACCUGAGUGUGAAUAAUGUUGGAGGAGGUCCUCGCAGGCCCCCUUCACAUCAAGAACUAGUCGCUCACACUCAAAGUAUUAUGCAAAAGGCACUACUCAAACAGGAAUUGGAGAAAGCCAAAGAGAAGCACCGCAAACGUGAAGCAGAAAGAGCACGAUCUCCAAACCCCAACGCACCUGUAAAUGUCUCGGGAAUUGGUUCCAUGUCUAUUCCUUCUAAUGUAAACAAGGAUGGUUCUCCAAGCAAAUCUGGGGUUAAAUCACAGUCUCCUUUAGCUUUCACUCCAACCUCUGUGAUGAGGAAGAUGACUGCUGACCGUGAUCGACAUGAGCGUAUUGAUAAACCUGAUAGUCCGGUUGUUGUUGGAGACCUGAUGAAAGACAAUGAUAGAACUCGUGACCAGUUGGACAACCCAGUGAGUGUAGUAGCUAUGCAACUUCAGACCCCACUACAGCAACAACAGGUUUUAGGUCGAGGGAAGGUUGACAACAAACGGGAUAUGCGUCGUGGUGCCUCUCCUUUGCCACCCACUAGCUCCUCAUUGUCUCCUGGUGGGCCAAUAAUGGGUGGUAAGGGGCCCAUGAUAAUGGGAGGUGGUAACUCUGGAAUGAUGAAUAUGGGCCACCAUAACAUGGGUCCCCCAGGCCAGCGACAUCCUUCAGCAUCCAUUCAGCCACCAAACAUGGGAAUGUCACGAGGGAAUCAGCAAAAUCUUAAUAUUAGAGCUUUACAAGCAGCACAGGCCCAGGCAGUGCUUGCCCAGCAGUUAAUGAGAAGCCAAGCUCCCCCAUCAGAUGGUGGCCUGCAUGUCCCACUAAUGUCCAUGGGAGGUAAUUCACAUCGCAGCUCCCCAGUCAACCUAGCCCAGUUCUUUGGUCGAGAUAUUAUGUCACAGGUUAAGACACGUGGAGACAGCGCUUGGCGCCUGUGACGUCACAUCAAGUCCCGUGACUCAACAGACAGCCACUUGUGUGACAACACUUAACUUACCUUCAAGUUCAAGCAGGAGGGUUACCAGACCUUCCUGGUGGGAAAGUUUUAAGCCUGGAGGAAGUGGAGAGGCUGCAACAGACUCAGGCUGUUCCCAACUGAGCCUGUGACAGCCCUGUACAUGGCAUAUCAACAGUGUCAACUUCCAACACCAAACUCCGUUUCUUUCUUUCAUCAUACCUGCCAUCACAUGACAGUCAGAGUUUGUGCACUGCUCUUCCUUAGAAGUUUUAUUUCCUCAAAAAUUUGUGUUGUUCCUGCAGAAGUACUUUAAUGUGGCCCAUGUCCCCACUGAAAAUGUAAAUAUUGUGUAGUUGUGGGCGGUAAAAUGAGGUGCAUGUUAUAGUCAGCAAAAUGCCAAGUUAUAUUAAGUCUUGACAAGAAAUUAUAUGAACAAUGUGAAAUGACAAUUUAAUGCAAAACAAGCAUAGAUAUGUAUGUUUAUGAACUAGUAAGGAGUUACCUUACAGAAUCUUUUGUUGUCCCUGUACCUGCUUCUCUCUAUAGGGUGGAAAAUUUUAUUCGUUUUCACCAAUGAAAUUAUGAGUGUGACAAGCUCUCCAGUGGGAUGGUGUUAAAAAUGGAUCUGUAUUCGUCAUAUAGUGCGGUCAUCAGUCUGUACCUCAUUAUUUGAAUUGCUUCAAGACACUGUGUGUGCUGAGGCUUUUAGCUACUGUGAAUACAAUAAGUGUUGUGAUCUGUAAGAAAACACGUUCAUUGUACAAAUAUAGAAAUGAGGACAAAAGUCCCAAAUACAUUGAUAGUAUCAUAAAGGACAAAAGAUAUAAUAAGUGUUAUCAGUGUUGACUUUGUGACUCUAGUGUAUUAUGAGAUGACAAAUGACAUUGAAAAUUAUAAUUUUUGAGAAUGCCAUUCAUCUCCCAUCAUCUCUGCACCCCUCAAUUGGUGACCAGAAACACAGAUGAAUGACGUCUGUGCUGUUUCAAGAUACCAAUGUUUUAUUUUUUCUUAACAGUUACAUGUAAGUCAAACAGUGAUGAGGUGUUUAUUAUUUUUUUACAAAACCAAAUGUUGAGUGUGAUAUUUAUGUGCUUGCCACAUACAUUUAUGUUUAAGUGUAAGACUGAAGGACGUAACAAAGUAUUUUUGUAAAGAUUGUAGUUCCUAAGGGAUGCAUUAUAUGAAGAGAUGCUGUUUGUGGCAUAAAUCCCUUUCUGAGUGUGGGAUGAAGAAUGUGGAAUAAUGGUGCUUAUGUUGGGAUUUUGAAUGACUGAUUAUGUGUGCGUGUGUGUGUAGGUGUAUGUGUACAUGUAUGAGAUGGAAAAUUCUUCGUCACAGACAGGGACCCUGAUGCAGAAAUAGGCGAAUAAAAUGUCCUGCUUGCUAGAUUUGUAAGUAAACCACUGUACAAAGUUGUGUUGUGUAGAAGAGAAAUAUUUGUUCAUGUGUUACUGUGUACGUACGUGUUUCAUUUUCUCUAGUUCAUAAAAGCUCAAAUACUGUAGAUACAUUAUGAUCAUGGAGUUUAAAACUUGGUUCAUAGAUCCAAGGAGUGAUCUCCCUGACCAUGCUGGAUGUGCUGUGUAGUAUGAUAUGUUCAGAUCAUCGAAUUUGGUUCUUGGGUUAUGUGUUAAUAGUUGUCACUUGCGAUUUUAAAAAGAAAAGGAGUGAAUAUAAUUUAAAAAUUACCCAAGGGUCUUUGAUGAUUUGAUGUGUGUGAUGUAUGUAUGCACAUGUAUUAUAUAUAUAUAUGUUGGGUGAUUGGAGACUGAUUUAAUUAGUACUUUGAUGGAUGAAUACUGUCAUAGUGUUUCCAUUUUUUUUCUUCCUUUUUUUUUUUCAUUUAUUUAUUUAUUUUUUUUUGUGCGAUAUGUAUUCAAUUUUGGUGUAUUAUUGAUCCACAAAGAGAAUAUGAUGUACAUGCUUAUAAUAUUUGGCACACAAAUUUAGUGCCCUAUAUAGAUGAUAAUGUGUUGCCAAGCAGCACAUUCUCAAAUUCUGCCAUGACCUAUGUUGACUGCUGUUUACUGGAAAUCUAGGCAGUUUAUUGUUGUCUCAUAGUAUAUAUUGUCCCAUAUGUUGGUGACCGUCUACAUUCCUCAGUGCAACCACCAGUGUCAGUAGAGUCAUCCUGCCUCGCCAUGCAGGAAGUCAAAUGGCUGCCAUGUAAUGAACACUAAAGAUGGUGGUACUUUACACUUCCAAUGAAGAGAAUCAUUGUGUACUUCAUGAACUCAUUUUAAAACUUCAUUGAGGCUACUUUUUCACUUUUGCCAAAAAUUAGCCUUGUGAAUAUGAAUGACUCGACUUAAAUGACUACAAACUAACUAUAUAUAUAUAUAUAUAUAUAUAUAUAUAUAUAUAUAUAUAUAUAUAUAUAUAUAUAUAUAUAUAUAUAUAUAUAUAUAUAUAUAUAUAUAUAUAUAUAUAUAUAUAUAUAUAUAUAAUAAAAUUACUUGUGUAAACAAACCCAGGAGCUUACAGUAAAAUAUAGGGUUGAAGUGUUAUCUUGACAAACUCCUAUUGUAAUGGUUAGCUCUGAGUUCAUGUUUUUCAAGAGUUGUACCCCUGGCCUGGAGUGGUCUCAUUUCAAAACAGCAGUUACCAAAUGUAAUUUAAAUUCCAGGAUAUUUAUCAAGGCCUACAGUAGUAGACAACACAAUGAAGUACAGUACUGCAGUUUCACAUGGUUAGGUUUCUAGAGACAUCUCAAUAUAUCUAACAGAAAAGAAUAAGAUUAGUUCUAAUACUGCCAGCCAGCCACCAGUUCUCUAAUGCUAUGACAGCCAACAGCCUUCUUCACUACCCACCAUUCAUACAUAAGCAGCAAUUUGUUGCCCCACCUAUUCUACCAUCCAAAAUGCCUUGUAUGCUUUUGUUUAGGAAGAUGUAAUCAGAUAAUUAUUUGUUAGGUUAACGUUUACAACCGAGUCUUGCGUGUGUGCAGGCCCUUUUCCUCUCCCUCUCGUAUUGCCGCCAAUCAGGGCCCACCCUCUUGUGCAAUGCUAGCCAAUGUCUUCCCUCUCCACCCUCCACUGAUAUGUAUACAGCACUUUAUUACCAUGCCCUCUCUACCACCACAAUGUCUUGCAUGUUCUGUUGUUAAAUUAAUAUAAUCAAACAUUGUAGUGACUACUGAGGAUAAAAGCACAUAGAACAUGAUAAACACACAACCCAACCUAAGGAUGUAAACAUUUUUAAAUUGAGUAUGUGAACCAUACAAGACUCUGUAUUGGCAAGAAAUAACAUUAUAUUGGUGAUUGGCUGUUUGAUAGGUGGCUUUGCAGCAGGAAUGAAUGAAUACCAAAGUACAGUACUAUAGUGUACUGUGCAAGCAUACAUGUGCCAGCCUUACCGUAGGUGGUACACAAAACAUUUGAUUAUGAAUUCUAGCUGUACUGAAGGAGUAACUUAGGUCAAAGUUUGAACUGUACUUAUUUUUCUAGUGUUUAACCUUGCCUCCUGGUUUGGUUCUGAUCAAGAAGAUAUGGUUGAACUCUCGAACACUUAAGAAUUCAGUCUUGUGUUCCUGCUCUCACUUACUGUAUAUUAUCAUAAACGUAAAAUUUACUGAAUUGCAGAACUAUGUUGUACCUUUAUUCAGUCUAGGAAUUCUAUUCAGUGGGAUAGUCUCUUAUUGUAGAUAGGAAACAUUACAGUAAUGUACGGAAAAAAUCAAACUUAUAUUUAACUUAAUUUUUCCUGAAAUUUAGUGUUUUUGGUUAUGUACUAAAACAUUGCUGUACUUCAUUUACAUUUUCCAGCUAAGGAUAAAGCUUCUUAGUUGUACAAUAAACAGUGUAAUGUUGAAAUUAGAAGUGAGAUCCAUCACUCCAGACCAGAUACGACAGAGGAGACCAUCAUAUUUCCUCGGGAGACAAAACGCUACGUAAUAGAAACUCAGUGUAAAUCUCGUGUCCUCAGCUGUAUCAAUUCAUUCAAGAGAGAGACAAGAAUCCAAUAGCUACUUAAAUCAUGAAUUAUAUGAUCUGUAUUAUCUGCUACAAUAUAGGAUCAUUCGAUGAUUGUUAUAUUAAUAUGGAAAGUUAUAUAUUUGUUCACCAAGUUGAUCUAAACAAAGAAUACUAAAGGGAAAUGCAGUACGUAGUUCAAAGUAGAAAAAUGUAUACUGUUAAAGAAGUGAAUUGUGGAAUCUCGUGAAUAUUCAAGUUUACUCUAGAUCGAAGGUACUACGCUAAUGGGUACAGCUAGUGAAGAUGGACAGUAUAUGUAGUCAUUACUGAUGAACUCAGAAUUUGAGAGAAUAGCAGUAAUGCAUAAUGUGCAGCAUCAAAAUAAGUGGCGGUAUGGAGAUGGAGACUUUGGUAUUAGUUCUUCAUAGCAUACAAAUAAUGUGUUAAGAUUAGGAAUUUCUCUUACGCUAGCAUUAAAGUCUCUUCUCAGCUGCUGCUUACUGCAUGUUGCAUAACCAUCUCGCCAUCUCUUAUUAGGUCUCUUUCGGCGUACCUUCGGUCAGCCCUAACGUAUCCUGAGAAUUACGUUAGUAUUUGAAACAUAAUUUGGUUUAGUUUAUUGCAUAUCAUUCAACUUGGAAAUGGAACAAGAAAAAAUAAGUUCAGUAUUUCUUCUUAUUUAGAAAUGCUAAAAAUAAAAUACCAGCAGUUAUUAA